CGGGGUGUGGCUCAGUUUGGCUAGAGCGCGUGGUUUGGGACCACGAGGCCGCAGGUUCGAAUCCUGUCACCCCGA
rnacentral:tRNA from 1 species